CCUACGGGUGGCAGCAGUGAGGAAUAUUGGUCAAUGGACGAGAGUCUGAACCAGCCAAGCAGCGUGAAGGAUGACUGCCCUAUGGGUUGUAAACUUCUUUUAUAUGGGAAUAAAAUGUUCCACGUGUGGGAUUUUGUAUGUACCAUAUGAAUAAGGAUCGGCUAACUCCGUGCCAGCAGCCGCGGUAAUACGGAGGAUCCGAGCGUUAUCCGGAUUUAUUGGGUUUAAAGGGAGCGUAGGUGGAUUGUUAAGUCAGUUGUGAAAGUUUGCGGCUCAACCAUAAAAUUGCAGUUGAAACUGGCAGUCUUGAGUACAGUAGAGGUGAGCGGAAUUCGUGGUGUAGCGGUGAAAUGCUUAGAUAUCACGAAGAACUCCGAUUGCGAAGGCAGUUCACUGGACUGCAACUGACACUGAGGCUCGAAAGUGUGGGUAUCAAACAGGAUUAGAUACCCCUGUAGUC
rnacentral:rRNA from 1 species